rnacentral:tRNA from 13 species
GUGUCUGAAGCCAAAGCGGUCGAGGCGCUGGUUUGUGGAACCAGUCAGAGCGGGUUCGAGUCCCGUCAGGCACCCCU